UACGGAGGGGGCUAGCGUUGUUCGGAAUUACUGGGCGUAAAGCGCACGUAGGCGGCUUUGCAAGUCAGAGGUGAAAGCCCGGGGCUCAACCCCGGAAUUGCCUUUGAGACUGCAUCGCUAGAAUUGUGGAGAGGUAAGUGGAAUUCCGAGUGUAGAGGUGAAAUUCGUAGAUAUUCGGAAGAACACCGGUGGCGAAGGCGGCUCACUGGCUCGUAUCUGACGCUCAGGCGCGAUAGCGUGGGGAUCAAACAGG
rnacentral:rRNA from 1 species